UACAGAGGGUGCGAGCGUUAAUCGGAAUUAUUGGGCGUAAAGAGCUCGUAGGCGGUCUGUCGCGUCUGCUGUGAAAACUCAGGGCUUAACCCUGAGCUUGCAGUGGGUACGGGCAGACUAGAGUGCGGUAGGGGAGACUGGAAUUCCUGGUGUAGCGGUGAAAUGCGCAGAUAUCAGGAGGAACACCGGUGGCGAAGGCGGGUCUCUGGGCCGUAACUGACGCUGAGGAGCGAAAGCAUGGGGAGCGAACAGG
rnacentral:rRNA from 1 species